GAUGAACGCUAGCUACAGGCUUAACACAUGCAAGUCGAGGGGCAGCAUGGUCUUAGCUUGCUAAGGCCGAUGGCGACCGGCGCACGGGUGAGUAACACGUAUCCAACCUGCCGUCUACUCUUGGACAGCCUUCUGAAAGGAAGAUUAAUACAAGAUGGCAUCAUGAGUCCGCAUGUUCACAUGAUUAAAGGUAUUCCGGUAGACGAUGGGGAUGCGUUCCAUUAGAUGGUAGGCGGGGUAACGGCCCACCUAGUCUUCGAUGGAUAGGGGUUCUGAGAGGAAGGUCCCCCACAUUGGAACUGAGACACGGUCCAAACUGCUACGGGAGGCAGCAGUGAGGAAUAUUGGUCAAUGGGCGCAGGCCUGAACCAGCCAAGUAGCGUGAAGGAGGACUGCCCUAUGGGUUGUAAACUUCUUUUAUAAAGGAAUAAAGUCGGGUAUGUAUACCCGUUUGCAUGUACUUUAUGAAUAAGGAUCGGCUAACUCCGUG
rnacentral:rRNA from 1 species